UACGUAGGGCGCAAGCGUUGUCCGGAAUUAUUGGGCGUAAAGAGCUCGUAGGCGGUUUGUCGCGUCUGCUGUGAAAACCUAAGGCUCAACCUUGGGCUUGCAGUGGGUACGGGCAGACUAGAGUGCGGUAGGGGUGACUGGAAUUCCUGGUGUAGCGGUGGAAUGCGCAGAUAUCAGGAGGAACACCGAUGGCGAAGGCAGAUCUCUGGGCCGUAACUGACGCUGAG
rnacentral:rRNA from 1 species